rnacentral:rRNA from 1 species
GGCUAACGCUGGCGGCGUGUCUUAGCCAUGCAAGUCGAGCGGACUUAUGGGGUAACUUAUAAGUCAGCGGCGGACGGCGGAGUAACACGUAGCUAACCUACCCUCUGGACGGGGAUAACCUACCGAAAGGUGGGCUAAUACCCGAUGUAGUCAUCCUGUAUAGGGGUGAUGAAAGGUGGGCUUCUGUUUACAAGCUCAUGCUGGAGGAGGGGGCUGCGGCCUAUCAGGUAGUUGGUAGGGUAAUAGCCUACCAAGCCGAUGACGGGUAGCCGGCCUGAGAGGGUGACCAGCCCGAGGGGCACUGAGAUACGGGUCCCACUCCUACGGGAGGCAGCAGGCUAGAAAUUUGGGCAAUGGGGGAAACCCUGACCCAGUGACGCCGCGUGCAGGAAGGAGCCCUUCGGGGUGUAAACUGCUGUCGUGUAGGGAGAAGGGUACUAAGGUGAACAAUCUUAGUACUUGACGGUACUACAGGAGGAAGCCCAGGCUAACCUCGUG